rnacentral:rRNA from 1 species
UACGAGGGGGGCGAGCGUUGUUCGGAAUUAUUGGGCGUAAAGGGUGCGUAGGCGGCCUGACAAGUCUGAUGUGAAAGUCCCUGGGCUCAACCCAGGGCCUGCAUCGGAAACUGUCGGGCUUGAGUAUGGGAGAGGUGAGUGGAAUUUCCGGUGUAGCGGUGAAAUGGCGUAGAUAUCGGAAGGAACACCUGUGGCGAAAGCGGCUCACUGGACCAUUACUGACGCUGAGGCACGAAAGCUAGGGGAGACAAACAGG